UACGUAGGCAGCGAGCGUUGUUCGGAGUUACUGGGCGUAAAGAGUGCGUAGGCGGUUUUCUAAGUUUGGUGUGAAAUCUCCCGGCUCAACUGGGAGGGUGCGCCGAAGACUGGAAGGCUUGAGUAUGGGAGAGGUAAGCGGAAUUCCUGGUGUAGCGGUGAAAUGCGUAGAUAUCAGGAGGAACACCAGUGGCGAAAGCGGCCACCUGGACUGUACCUGACGCUCAAACACGAAAGCUAGGGGAGCGAACGGG
rnacentral:rRNA from 1 species